AUGAACGCUGGCGGCAGGCCUAACACAUGCAAGUCGAACGGUAACAGGAAGCAACUUGCUGCUUUGCUGACGAGUGGCGGACGGGUGAGUAAUGUCUGGGAAACUGCCUGAUGGAGGGGGAUAACUACUGGAAACGGUAGCUAAUACCGCAUAACGUCGCAAGACCAAAGAGGGGGACCUUCGGGCCUCUUGCCAUCGGAUGUGCCCAGAUGGGAUUAGCUAGUAGGUGGGGUAACGGCUCACCUAGGCGACGAUCCCUAGCUGGUCUGAGAGGAUGACCAGCCACACUGGAACUGAGACACGGUCCAGACUCCUACGGGAGGCAGCAGUGGGGAAUAUUGCACAAUGGGCGCAAGCCUGAUGCAGCCAUGCCGCGUGUAUGAAGAAGGCCUUCGGGUUGUAAAGUACUUU
rnacentral:rRNA from 1 species